rnacentral:rRNA from 1 species
ACAAGGUUUCCGUAGGUGAACCUGCGGAAGGAUCAUUACCGAGUUGAUUCGAGCUCCGGCUCGACUCUCCCACCCAAUGUGUACCUACCUCUGUUGCUUUGGCGGGCCGCGGUCCUCCGCACCGGCGCCCUUCGGGGGGCUGGCCAGCGCCCGCCAGAGGACCAUAAAACUCCAGUCAGUGAACUUCGCAGUCUGAAAAACAAGUUAAUAAACUAAAACUUUCAACAACGGAUCUCUUGGUUCUGGCAUCGAUGAAGAACGCAGCGAAAUGCGAUAAGUAAUGUGAAUUGCAGAAUUCAGUGAAUCAUCGAAUCUUUGAACGCACAUUGCGCCCCUUGGUAUUCCGAGGGGCAUGCCUGUUCGAGCGUCAUUUCAACCCUCAAGCUCUGCUUGGUAUUGGGCCCCGUCCUCCACGGACGCGCCUUAAAGACCUCGGCGGUGGCGUCUUGCCUCAAGCGUAGUAGAAAACACCUCGCUUUGGAGCGCACGGCGUCGCCCGCCGGACGAACCUUUGAAUUAUUUCUCAAGGUUGACCUCGGAUCAGGUAGGGAUACCCGCUGAACUUAAGCAUAUCAUA